rnacentral:rRNA from 1 species
UGGGGAAUAUUGGACAAUGGGGGGAACCCUGAUCCAGCAAUGCCGCGUGAGUGAAGAAGGCCUUCGGGUUGUAAAGCUCUUUUGUCAGGGAAGAAACGGUAGUAGCGAAUAACUAUUACUAAUGACGGUACCUGAAGAAUAAGCACCGGCUAACUACGUGCCAGCAGCCGCGGUAAUACGUAGGGUGCAAGCGUUAAUCGGAAUUACUGGGCGUAAAGCGUGCGCAGGCGGUUGUGUAAGUCAGAUGUGAAAUCCCCGGGCUCAACCUGGGAAUUGCAUUUGAGACUGCACGGCUAGAGUGUGUCAGAGGGGGGUAGAAUUCCACGUGUAGCAGUGAAAUGCGUAGAUAUGUGGAGGAAUACCGAUGGCGAAGGCAGCCCCCUGGGAUAACACUGACGCUCAUGCACGAAAGCGUGGGGAGCAAACAGGAUUAGAUACCCGAGUAGUCCCUGAGCGGGCUGGCAAGGCGCAU